GGUCUUAUAGUUUAUUAAAAACAUUGAAUUGCAAAUUCAAAAAGUUAACUUAAUGGUUUUUAAGACUU
rnacentral:tRNA from 1 species